AAGCUGAGAUAAGGAUGAUGUGAAGGAGUUGGCCAUGUGGAGGAACAUUCCAGAGUUCCACCAGCACCUGUGGCCAGCGACCACCAUCCAUCUGUCUAUGAAAGCGGUGAAGAGAGGGGCGGGGGAAGCCGGGCUCCAAGAGCUUCAAAGAAAGAAGGUAUCUCAGCACCAGAGAAAAGAUGCUAAGCAGCAGAGGGAAGCUGAGAGAAUGUUCCGGCUGCCUCCCAACUCUUUGGUCUUUGGGACCUGGGAGAAACAGCAAGCUCUCUAUGAAACCCCUUUGCUUGGCAGAGAGCAGCGUUUCAGUUAAGACCUUUGACGAGCAAGUCUCUCCCGGUCCUGCUGGGGAGGCAUUUGGAAGUCUCCGUAGCCAGUUCCCAGUCCUGCUGUCCUUUACCUGCCUGGUGUCAGCCCACAUUAGCGCAACACGCAUAAUUUACAUGCUUGAAACAGACAGAUGUUCCAGCCAGCUCUGUAUGUAUAAUCUGAGAAUUC
ensembl:lncRNA